rnacentral:rRNA from 1 species
GUGGGGAAUAUUGCACAAUGGGCGCAAGCCUGAUGCAGCCAUGCCGCGUGUGUGAAGAAGGCCUUCGGGUUGUAAAGCACUUUCAGCGGGGAGGAAGGCGGUGAGGUUAAUAACCUCAUCGAUUGACGUUACCCGCAGAAGAAGCACCGGCUAACUCCGUGCCAGCAGCCGCGGUAAUACGGAGGGUGCAAGCGUUAAUCGGAAUUACUGGGCGUAAAGCGCACGCAGGCGGUCUGUCAAGUCGGAUGUGAAAUCCCCGGGCUCAACCUGGGAACUGCAUUCGAAACUGGCAGGCUAGAGUCUUGUAGAGGAGGGUAGAAUUCCAGGUGUAGCGGUGAAAUGCGUAGAGAUCUGGAGGAAUACCGGUGGCGAAGGCGGCCCCCUGGACAAAGACUGACGCUCAGGUGCGAAAGCGUGGGGAGCAAACAGGAUUAGAUACCCUUGUAGUCC